UCCAUCUACUGAAGCUGUGCUCAUCUGUGGGAUGUGGUUCAACAUUGGCUGGGACUGAGGCUGGGACUACCAAAGUCACUUGUCCGCUCUUCUUUGAAUGCAUGAGAUUCCACAUUCUAAAAAAAAGAAAUGUGUCCUGCAUGGUUUCACACCACUGGAGAGGUCGCAGCACACAUGGACUGAGAAGCAGAAAUCCCAUUAAAGAGCAGGAACUGUGCAGAAAAAAAGCUUUAUGAGAAUCCAAACAACCUGGACUGGGAUAGUGAGAAGGAGUUCUCAGCGCUGAAACUUGCCAUGUGCAGUGUAAACGGGAAAGAGAUCUUGGGAAUGAUCCCAUGCA